CAGCCGCCACGGUAAUACGUAGGGUGCGAGCGUUAAUCGGAAUUACUGGGCGUAAAGCGUGCGCAGGCGGUUGCGUAAGACAGGUGUGAAAUCCCCGGGCUUAACCUGGGAACUGCGCUUGUGACUGCACAGCUAGAGUAUGGCAGAGGGGGGUGGAAUUCCACGUGUAGCAGUGAAAUGCGUAGAGAUGUGGAGGAACACCGAUGGCGAAGGCAGCCCCCUGGGCCAAUACUGACGCUCAUGCACGAAAGCGUGGGGAGCAAACAGGAUUAGAGACCCGAGUAGUCCCUGUCUCUUAUAC
rnacentral:rRNA from 1 species